GAAAUGCGAUAAGUAGUGUGAAUUGCAGAAUUCAGUGAAUCAUCGAAUCUUUGAACGCACAUUGCGCCCCACGGUAUUCCGUGGGGCAUGCCUGUUCGAGCGUCAUCUACACCCUCAAGCUCUGCUUGGUGUUGGGCGUCUGUCCCGCCUCCGCGCGCGGACUCGCCCCAAAUGCAUUGGCAGCGGUUCCUUGCCCCCCUCUUUGCGCAGCACAUUGCCAUUCGAGGCGGCGGCGGCCCGCGUCCAACAAGCUCAACCCCCCCGUCUUUGACCUCGGAUCAGGUAGGGAUACCCGCUGAACUUAAGC
rnacentral:misc_RNA from 1 species